AGUGAACGCUGGCGGUAGGCCUAACACAUGCAAGUCGAACGGCAGCACAGUAAGAGCUUGCUCUUACGGGUGGCGAGUGGCGGACGGGUGAGGAAUACAUCGGAAUCUACUUUUUCGUGGGGGAUAACGUAGGGAAACUUACGCUAAUACCGCAUACGACCUACGGGUGAAAGCAGGGGAUCUUCGGACCUUGCGCGAUUGAAUGAGCCGAUGUCGGAUUAGCUAGUUGGCGGGGUAAAGGCCCACCAAGGCGACGAUCCGUAGCUGGUCUGAGAGGAUGAUCAGCCACACUGGAACUGAGACACGGUCCAGACUCCUACGGGAGGCAGCAGUGGGGAAUAUUGGACAAUGGGCGCAAGCCUGAUCCAGCUAUACCGCGUGGGUGAAGGAGGCCUUCGGGUUGUAAAGCCCUUUUGUUGGGAAAGAAAAGCAGCAGGUUAAUACCCCGCUGUUCUGACGGUACCCAAAGAAUAAGCACCGGCUAACUUCGUG
rnacentral:rRNA from 1 species